rnacentral:pre_miRNA from 1 species
AGUGGGAUAGCUGGGUCAUAUGGUGGUUCCAUUCCAAGUUUUCUAAGGAAUUUCCAUACAGCUUUCCAUAGUGGUUGCACCAAUUUGCAAUCCCAUCAGUAAU